rnacentral:rRNA from 1 species
AACGAACGCUGGCGGCAGGCUUAACACAUGCAAAUCGAACGCCCCGCAAGGGGAGCGGCAGACGGGUGAGCAACGCGUGGGAACCUUCCUCGAUGUACGGAACAACCAAGGGAAAAUUGAGCUGAUUCCGUCAACGUCCGAGAGGAGAAAGAUUUAUCGCAUGGAGACGGGCCCGCGUAGGAUUAGCUAGUUGGUAAGGUAACGGCUUACCAAGGCAACGAUCCGUAGCUGAUCUGAGAGGAUGAUCAGCCACACUGGGACGAAGACUCGGCCCAGAAGCAGACGGGAGGGAGCAGGGGGGAAUCUUGGAGAGUGGUAGCAAGUCUGAUCCAGCCAUGCCGAGUGAGUGAAGAAGGCCUUCGGGUUGUAAAGCUCUUUUGUCAGGGAAGAUAAUGCCGGUACCUGAAGAAUAAGCCCGGGCAAACUUCGUGCCAGCAGCCGCCGUAA